rnacentral:rRNA from 1 species
AUUGAACGCUGGCGGCAGGCCUAACACAUGCAAGUCGAACGAGGGGCGGACGGGUGAGGAAUGUCUGGGGCUCUGCCCGCUAGAGGGGGAUAACUACUGGAAACGGUUGCUACUACCGCCUACUAUCGGGUGUACCCAGAUGGGGUUAGCUAGUAGGUGGGGUAAAGGCUCACCUAGGCGACGAUCGCUAGCUGGUCUGAGAGGAUGAUCAGCCACACUGGGACGGGGACACGGUGCAGCCGCCGACGGGAGGCAGGAGUGGGGAACAUUGCACAAGGGGCGCAAGCCUGAUGCAGCCAUGCCGCGUGUAUGAAGAAGGCCAUCGGGUUGUAAAGUACUUUCAGCGUGGAGGCGGUACCCGCAGAAGAAGCACCGGCUAACUCCGUGCCAGCAGCCGCGGUAAUUC